rnacentral:rRNA from 1 species
UACGAAGGGGGCUAGCGUUGUUCGGAAUUACUGGGCGUAAAGCGCACGUAGGCGGGUUGUUAAGUCAGGGGUGAAAUCCUGGAGCUCAACUCCAGAACUGCCUUUGAUACUGGCAACCUAGAGGCUGGAAGAGGUUAGUGGAAUUCCCAGUGUAGAGGUGAAAUUCGUAGAUAUCGGGAGGAACACCAGUGGCGAAGGCGACUACCUGGCCUGUUCUUGACGCUGAGGCGCGAAAGCUAGGGGAGCAAACGGG